GGGGACGUCCUAAAGCUCUCACCACUCCCCUCCAUCAGAAACGAUGGGGGCUCGUCACAGCGUGAGAGAUGUACAAUGGGCGAUCCGCAGCGAAGCCCCGUCAGCCUACCCUGUAGGCCCGGGGACCGUUCACAGACUAGGUGGUCAUGGGCACCGCGGUGCUUAAGAUAUAGUCGGCCAGCUGGGGAAACCUGACUGCUAGCGCGUUCCGUAGGUGAACCUGCGGAAGGAUCAUUACAGAGUUCCUGCCCUCACGGGUAGAAACCCCACCCUUGUGUAUAUUAUAUUGUUGCUUUAGCAGGUCGCCCUCUGGGCGUCGGCCUCGGCUGACUGUGCCUGCUAGAGGACCCUAAAUUUUGAAAUACAGUGUCGUCUGAGUACUAUUUAAUAGUUAAAACUUUCAACAACGGAUCUCUUGGUUCUGGCAUCGAUGAAGAACGCAGCGAAAUGCGAUAAGUAAUGUGAAUUGCAGAAUUCAGUGAAUCAUCGAAUCUUUGAACGCACAUUGCGCCCCUUGGUAUUCCGGGGGGCAUGCCUGUUCGAGCGUCAUUUAGACCAACUCCCGCUCCGGCGGGGUCUUGGGCUGCGCCUUUGGGCGGGCCUUAAAACCAGUGGCGGUGCCCUAAGGCUCUACGCGUAGUAAUUCUUCUCGCGAUAGGGUCCUUGCGGUGUCUUGCCAGCAACCCCCAACUCU
rnacentral:rRNA from 1 species